ACUACAAAUUUGCGGUAGUCAAUUUGUGCCAGGGACGUAACAAUCGGGAGCACAGUGCUAACCUUCCUGACAAGCUCACCAAACCUAUACUGUUGGUUUCAAGAGGUUUCAGUGGAAUUUCGGAUACAAAGCCCUAUCCAAGUGAUUAAAGCGCUGCCGCCGCAUCUGACAGAGCGUACUGCGUAAAUACACUUUUCUGUAAGAUUACAUUAAGAUUAGUUUUUUUGCUUCUUUGUGUUCAGUGCCUAUGUUUAAAAACUGAAAAGGUACCAAAUAAUGCAGCGAUGCAACAGAGUUAAGGUUUGAGACAACAAACGCAAUAGGAUUUAAUGCAACAACAGCAACAGCAACAAGGU